rnacentral:rRNA from 1 species
UGGCCAGUAGAUCCAGCUUACCAUGCAAGUCGAACGGAAAGGCCUCAACUUGCUGGGGUACUCGAGUGGCGAACGGGUGAGUAACACGUGGGUGAUCUGCCCUGCACUUUGGGAUAAGCCUGGGAAACUGGGUCUAAUACCGAAUAUGACCACUUCUUGGAUGUUGUGGUGGAAAGCUUUUGCGGUGUGGGAUGAGCCUGCGGCCUAUCAGCUUGUUGGUGGGGUAAUGGCCUACCAAGGCGGCGACGGGUAUCCGGCCUGAGAGGGUGUACGGACACAUUGGGACUGAGAUACGGCCCAGACUCCUACGGGAGGCAGCAGUGGGGAAUAUUGCACAAUGGGCGCAAGCCUGAUGCAGCGACGCCGCGUGGGGGAUGAAGGCCUUCGGGUUGUAAACUCCUUUCGCUAUCGACGAAACCACUGUGUGGUGACGGUAGGUAGAUAAGAAGCACCGGCUAACUACGUGCCAGCAGCCGCGGUAAUACGUAGGGUGCAAGCGUUGUCCGGAAUUACUGGGCGUAAAGAGCUCGUAGGUGGUUUGUCGCGUCGUCUGUGAAAUCCCGGGGCUUAACUUCGGGCGUGCAGGCGAUACGGGCAUAACUUGAGUGCUGUAGGGGAGACUGGAAUUCCUGGUGUAGCGGUGAAAUGCGCAGAUAUCAGGAGGAACACCGAUGGCGAAGGCAGGUCUCUGGGCAGUAACUGACGCUGAGGAGCGAAAGCAUGGGUAGCGAACAGGAUUAGAUACCCUGGUAGUCCAUGCCGUAAACGGUGGGCGCUAGGUGUAGGGGGCUUCCACGUCUUCUGUGCCGUAGCUAACGCAUUAAGCGCCCCGCCUGGGGAGUACGGCCGCAAGGCUAAAACUCAAGGAAUUGACGGGGGCCCGCACAAGCGGCGGAGCAUGUGGAUUAAUUCUAUGCAACGCGAAAACCUUACCUGGGCUUGACAUGUACCGGAUCGGGCUAAGAUAUCUUUCCUUGUGGUCGGUAUACAGUGGUGCAUGGUGUCGUCACUCGUGUCUGAGAUGUUGGGUUAAGUCCCGCAACGAGCGCACCCUUGUCUUAUGUUGCCAGCACGUGAUGGUGGGGAACUCCAUGAGAGAACUGCUCGGGGUUAACCUCCGAGGGAAGGUGGGGAUGA